AUUCACUCUGGGGGAAGCCAGCCACUCAAGCAGUCCUAUGAAGGGGUCCACGCAGUGAGGAAAUGAGGCCUCUGCAACAGCUAUGCAAGUGAAUUAUCUUGGUAACAGGUCUUUCGGCCUCUGUCAAGCCUUCAGAUGACUGCAGCCUCAAGUGACAUCUUGACUCACCAGCUAAACUGCCCCCAAAUUGCUGGGCCACAAAAACUGCCGGAGCCUCAACAGAAAGCUCCUUUAGUUCCUCCUCCUCCACCGCCACCACCACCACCGCCACCUUUGCCAGACCCCACACCCCCGGAGCCAGAGGAGGAGAUCCUAGGAUCAGAUGAUGAGGAGCAAGAGGACCCCGCGGACUACUGCAAAGGUGGAUAUCAUCCAGUGAAAAUUGGAGACCUCUUCAAUGGCCGGUAUCAUGUUAUUAGAAAGCUUGGAUGGGGCCACUUCUCUACUGUCUGGCUGUGCUGGGAUAUGCAGGGGAAAAGAUUUGUUGCAAUGAAAGUUGUAAAAAGUGCCCAGCAUUAUACAGAGACAGCCUUGGAUGAAAUAAAAUUGCUCAAAUGUGUUCGAGAAAGUGAUCCCAGUGACCCAAACAAAGACAUGGUGGUCCAGCUCAUUGACGACUUCAAGAUUUCAGGCAUGAAUGGGAUACAUGUCUGCAUGGUCUUUGAAGUGCUUGGCCACCAUCUCCUUAAGUGGAUCAUCAAAUCCAACUAUCAAGGCCUCCCAGUACGUUGUGUGAAGAGUAUCAUUCGACAGGUCCUUCAAGGGUUAGAUUACCUACACAGUAAGUGCAAGAUCAUUCAUACUGACAUAAAGCCGGAAAACAUCUUGAUGUGUGUGGAUGAUGCAUAUGUAAGAAGAAUGGCAGCUGAGGCCACUGAGUGGCAGAAAGCAGGUGCUCCUCCUCCUUCAGGGUCUGCAGUGAGUACGGCUCCACAGCAGAAACCUAUAGGAAAAAUAUCUAAAAACAAAAAGAAAAAACUGAAAAAGAAACAGAAGAGGCAAGCUGAGUUAUUGGAGAAGCGCCUGCAGGAGAUAGAAGAAUUGGAACGAGAAGCUGAAAGGAAAAUAAUAGAAGAAAACAUCACCUCAGCUGCACCUUCCAAUGACCAGGAUGGCGAAUACUGCCCAGAGGUGAAACUAAAAACAACAGGAUUAGAGGAGGCAGCCGAGGCAGAGACUGCAAAGGACAAUGGUGAAGCUGAGGACCAGGAAGAGAAAGAAGACACUGAGAAAGAAAACAUUGAAAAAGAUGAAGAUGAUGUAGAUCAGGAACUUGCGAACAUAGACCCUACGUGGAUAGAAUCACCUAAAACCAAUGGCCAUAUUGAGAAUGGCCCAUUCUCACUGGAGCAGCAACUGGACGAUGAAGAGGAUGAUGAAGAAGACUGCCCAAAUCCUGAGGAAUAUAAUCUUGAUGAGCCAAAUGCAGAAAGUGAUUACACAUAUAGCAGCUCCUAUGAACAAUUCAAUGGUGAAUUGCCAAAUGGACGACAUAAAAUUCCUGAGUCACAGUUCCCAGAGUUUUCCACCUCGUUGUUCUCUGGAUCCUUAGAACCUGUGGCCUGUGGCUCUGUGCUUUCUGAGGGAUCACCACUUACUGAGCAAGAGGAGAGCAGUCCAUUCCAUGACAGAAGCAGGACGGUUUCAGCCUCCAGUACUGGGGAUUUGCCAAAAGCAAAAACCCGGGCAGCUGACUUGUUGGUGAAUCCCCUGGAUCCACGGAAUGCAGAUAAAAUUAGAGUAAAAAUUGCUGACCUGGGAAAUGCUUGUUGGGUGCAUAAACACUUCACGGAAGACAUCCAGACGCGUCAGUACCGCUCCAUAGAGGUUUUAAUAGGAGCAGGGUACAGCACCCCUGCGGACAUCUGGAGCACGGCGUGUAUGGCAUUUGAGCUGGCAACGGGAGAUUAUUUGUUUGAACCACAUUCUGGGGAAGACUAUUCCAGAGACGAAGACCACAUAGCCCACAUCAUAGAGCUGCUAGGCAGUAUUCCAAGGCACUUUGCUCUAUCUGGAAAAUAUUCUCGGGAAUUCUUCAAUCGCAGAGAUCACAUAGCAUUGAUCAUUGAACUGCUGGGGAAAGUCCCUCGAAAAUACGCUAUGUUGGGGAAAUACUCCAAGGAGUUUUUCACCAGAAAAGGAGAACUGCGACACAUCACCAAGCUGAAGCCCUGGAGCCUCUUUGAUGUACUUGUGGAAAAGUAUGGCUGGCCCCAUGAAGAUGCUGCACAGUUUACAGAUUUCCUGAUCCCGAUGUUAGAAAUGGUUCCAGAAAAACGAGCCUCAGCUGGCGAAUGCCUUCGGCAUCCUUGGUUGAAUUCUUAGCAAAUUCUACCAAUAUUGCAUUCUGAGCUAGCAAAUGUUCCCAGUACAUUGGACCUAAACGGUGACUCUCAUUCUUUAACAGGAUUACAAGUGAGCUGGCUUCAUCCUCAGACCUUUAUUUUGCUUUGAGUCCAUGUGAAAUCUUCAUGGAAAAUGACAAGCAGUGGAUCACAUAUGUGUUUAUAGCAGACACAGGAGCUGGCUGUCUAGAAAUUGGCAGACGACAGAACUGCCCAAAGGCAGAGAAAAGGUGGAUAUAAGAUCUUCACUUAGGUGAAAACUGAUUUACUAACUUGCUUCUUCUCAUACCUGGACCAUACAUAACUAGUUACCAGGAUAAAGUACGGAAACUUUCCAUCGGAGUAGAGAACUUCAGCUUGUAUCCGUAGUUCAGGUUAUUUCCUAAAUUGUCCUUUUUUCUCCCCCUUUUAAAUAACUUGAAUGAAAUUUUGGUAGAAGACCGUAUUUUAGAGUAUAUACUUCAUCAAGGAAUCAAAAUGCAUAAGAUUCUGCAGUUCACACAAAAGCUUCUGUAUGCGUAUUUCUGUAGUAGGCACAUUUCAAGCCAGUGAAGAAUUUAAAAUGCUUAGAAGGACAGACCUUUUAAGAAGAAUAUUUUUGUUUUACACGCUAGUUACCUUUAUUCUGUUUGAAACUAUCAGGAUAGAUGAUGAUGUAAAAGCAUUUCUUAGACAAAUGUUUCUUUAAUACCAUAAAUAGAAUUUUGUUGGACAAAUUGAGGAUGGCAAACUUCGCCUAUGUUCUUCUAAAAUUUGAAGCUGUGAUUAGGAUUGAGCCCUAAGUGAGCUGCGUUAAUGUACCAUCAUUAGCUAAUUUUCAAAAGGAAAUAAUAGAAAUUCAAAGUGUAAAAACAUGACUGAAUGAGGUCAGUCAUUUUAGUGUUUUUCUGAUGCACAGAAUUUGUAUCCUGUGCCAAAUUAUGUCAGGUAAUUGGAUGAUGAAAAAUGUGUUGAUAAACAGUAUCAUUAUUAUUGGAUGUACUUACUGAAUCCUCCUCAGAGGUAGAAGACAAAGGCUGGGAAAUUUUUAAAUUUUUCGAAGAUUAAUAACUAGCAUAUUAUAUUUUAGCAAUAAAAACGUUCACUUAAGAGGCCGUAUUCAUUUCACUGAGACAGCUAGGAAUAAUGCCUUUUUUCUUUAGUUUUGUACACCCAAGACAAAUUUUCCUGUUUUGGGCAAACUACCCAUAUUUUCAAACAGUUGUUGUACCUUGUAUUCAAGAACUACUGUAAUGCAUUAGUGGUCUGGCUUCAUUUUGUAUGAUGCCAGAUCCUUAAUUUACCCAGCACAAUCAUUUCAGUAGUUUCCUAUAGCUCCUGCAAAAAUGCAAACAAACAGAAACCACCACAGGAACAGCCCCUUGCUGCCUCCUGUUGCUGAGGUAGUAGUCGCUAAAGAAAAUUGAAGGCUCCUUACAGUCCAUAUUUGAAAACUAGAACUUCUGUAGAAACACACAGAUCCCGAUCUUAGAAGUUGUAUAGGACAAUUUGGUAAAACUGACAUAAUUGUGAUUUAUUAACAUGAAUUAAAAUGCCCAACCAGUGCUUCAAUGUGACAGUAUAUUUAAAAUAAAAAAGAAAUUAAAGGUCA